AUAGUAGUACAGGGGCCUAUUUCACGAAGCAGGUUUUACAAACUCUGAGUUUCUUCCUCAACUCUGAGUUGAUCUACUCUGAGAUAGAAAACUCUGAGUUUUCGGUUUCACAACGGCUGAUAUGAGUUGGGUUAAUUAACUUGGAGUAGUUUGACCCGGAGUUAUGCGCGUGCACCGCAAGUCUGAAAAGACAGCAUCAAUGGAACCCCGAUUCGACGAGUCACCAUGGAAACGGGGAAGCGAAAGGCUGCGUUUUUGAACUGGAAGUUUUUAACGCGCUCAUAUGGCGAGUUUGAACACGUUUUUAGAAAGAAGUGCAACACCGCUGCAGCUGCAAAAGAGAGAGAGACGGCGUGGAGAACAGCCCGGAUCAAUGCGAUGAAGAGGAUGAAACUGUGUCUGCUGCCUUUACAGAGGGGGAUCCAGAAAGGCAUACAGAGCUAUGUUACUGAUAGUUCUCUUCUCAUUCACAUUUUGGGUGGAAUAUAGAGUGUGACAUUUAGCCUACACUGAAGUAUUGCACAUUCUCAUCCUUUUUAACAGAGCAUGGCUGGACAGCAGCAGGAUGGUUCCUCAGCUUCCGCUGCACAGACUGACACAGUGAGAUGGAUGUUCAGGAAACACCAGAGCUUCAUUCUGUGGAAUCCAUGUGCAACUGUAUAAUUGAAUGUCCUCUAUGUAUUCCCAGUUAUCAGUAAAACAGAUUUACAAACUGCAUUUGCUGAGAAAAAUCCAAAAAACAGAUUAGGAGGGCAGAUCUGGAAAUUGAAAUAGUGGAGCACAAGUUAGAGGUGGUGAUGGUCACAGGUGAAUUAUGUUAACUACUGGAACAUGAACUGAACUAUCUUUUAUUUGUAGGAAAUAAAGAAGAGCAAAUGAAA